GCUGCCGGCAUUCUGGGGAGGUCCGGAAGCGGUGGAGCUGGUGGUCUGGUCUCCCAUCCCCUCCCUGCCUGGCUCGGACGCCAGCCCCAUUACACCGACGGGAAUGAGCGACGGAGAGGAGAAUCCAGCAGCAGUGCCUGUGGCCCCGCCAGAUGUACAGGGAGACGGCCGCUGGAUGUCACAGCACAACCGAUUUGUG